ACACAAUCAUUUAAUCACAACUUUUCAUUUUGCUAGCUUAAAAUUAAUUUUAAAUUUAAUAAUAUUUAAAAUGAAAAAUAGAAGGUUGUGAUUGAAUGAUUGUGU
rnacentral:pre_miRNA from 1 species